UUAGUUACGUGCUAAAUGACCCCUGUGUUUGGUCUGCGCUGCUGGUUUUUGUUUGAUCGUCUCUCGUGUUAUCGCCGCUUAGAGGUCAGGAGGGGAAAGAGGAAAGCGAAUAGCGAUAACGGAGGAAGGACGAAAGCAGCUAUAUAAACUCGCGACGCGGGAAAUGUUGCGUCAUUAGGUCGAGAGCUGUUAGUGAGUUCGUGUGUGCGUGCGUGGCUGUGCGCGGGAGACUCCUUUUCUAUCACGUGGUUUGCAUCUGUGCGUAAGUGCGAGUGAAAUCAGCAUGCGACUUCAAGCUUUUUAAUUAGUAAGACUGGAUGCGAGCUGGUUUUGGAACCUAAAGGAAUGAGCCGUCGAACUCUUUCCGAGCAGCGCCCUAAAUGGUACAUCCUGGAAGGUAACUUGAGGUGAUAAUCUGCUCUCACUCUGAAGACAACUACCUGUGGACGAUGCAAAGUCAUCUACUUGAUCCAAAAUCCAAUGGUCAGCCAAGGGAACAUCCAACGUCAUAAUCAACUGCGCAGAAAAGCCACUAGCAAAACAGCAGCCAAAAUGUUGGUACAAACAAACAUCCCUCCCUUCUUCCUUCUUUCCUUCCUUCCAUCCUUCCAAUAUCCUUAGUCUGUGUCACUGUGUGUUCACCAUCUCUAAUGACCAAGUUGUCGACAAGAGGUUAAGUUACAUUUUUGGUUAGCCAUUUUAGCAACUUCAUAAUAGCUAAGAAUUCCCUUUUAAUGUACCCAAAAAUAGCCCAAUUGAAAUUAAUAUCAAUUAAUAAAUAUGUAGCAGUUACACAGGAACGAAUAUCGGCCUAUAGCUUUGACAAAGUUUUUGUAUUUAAUUUUUUUUCAUUAAAUCAAUGUUUUCCGAUCACUGAAGAGUUACAUAAUUUUUAGAUAGUACUAGUCAUGAUUAAAAUUAGUGUGUUUAAAAACAUUAAACAUCAAAAAGUGUUGUUAACUAUGCGGGCAUAAGUAUGAGAUUUUAUUUGUUGGAUUAAAAGUGUUGCAAUUUUCUAAAUUAAAUACUUAUAACUCAUUGUAUUUAGAUGUGCAAAUUAAAUAUCCAUGUUCAGUUUAGCAGUUUUCACCAGUGCCACACUUUUCAAUAUAUCAAAUUAUAAAAAAAUGCUUAUUUGCAAAACUAAAAAUAUGAUACAAAUAUUGUGGCUUCAAUCAUAUUUAUUUGCUGCAGUUUAUAUUAAAGUGGCUAUUGGCCCUCAAGAGGAGCAGCUCGUAACUACUAAAUAUUUUUCAAGAACGAAGAAUAAAGCAGCAUUCAAAAAGGUAAUUAUUUGGGAAGCCAACUUGUAAAAAUGACUGCUGCUUCAUUGUUACAGUGCCAAGACAUAACAAGCCAUUCUUUAUUAAUUUAACUUUUUUCCACAACUACUACUAGAUUUUCUUAUUCUUGUUGCUAUGCUUCUAUUAACUGGAAUGACUAAUCUCGAGUUUUAAUUCUUUGCAGUAGCAUGUCUCACAUUUUAUCUAGUGCUGCAAAUACAAAUUUCUGUACAUAUUAGAACUAACUGCUUAACUUUACCCUUUAUAGUCAGCACAAGAUAGGAACCAUUAAAGUUGCUUGUAAAACUAAUACAGUAGUCUCCAGAAAACUUGAUAACCCGGCGGUCCAGAUAACUCUACCACACCCUGGCAGGACGAAAAAAAAACCAUGUGUAGACCCGUUCAAGGUCCCGCAGUCCUUUGUCUCACGCCACACUCCCACUCCUCCACCACAUGUUUGGUGCCGGCGUGCGAUCAGCCGUUCAGUCUACCUGCAUCCUUUUCCAGGGUUAGUCUAUUUCUUAACCGCAUUGCGUAACUCAAUGUGAGUGAAUGUGCGUAUUGUAUCGUUCAAAGCGGUUUCACAGUUUAUGGGUGCUGGACAGUAUUCUCCGAUGACAUCUUCCACUAAAAGAAAACAAGUGAACUUGUCCAUGGAGCAAAAGUUACGGGCAUUAGACUGGAUAAGGGAAGAGUGUCAGUGCAGUGACUAAGGACUUGGGAGUUGGCUGAUCAGAGCCUGAAAAUUUCGCCCGCCAUCUACGAUCCUGCAUUGUUAAUGUACUGUCCGAUACCUUGACCCCCUCUGAACAACACUAUAUUUUUAAGUAAGGUUAGGAAGAAUUUGUUCAGAUUUUCAUUGUUUCCCAGUAGAGAUGAGAGAUAGAAUGUUUCCUUGCAAUAGACUAAGGCUGAGUCAUUACCUGAUCUUUCUACAUUGUGUGAGUGAUGUGCGCUUGUUUUUAAUGACCUUUCUGUCAGAUAGACGUGAAGCCAAAUGAAGUAAAGUAACAUAAAUAUGUAGUGUGUCUGUUACAUCCCUGUUACUAUCUACAGAAAUUACAAUACAAUAUUCGGAUGCCAAACCCUUUGUACAUGGUUGCCUCUAUUCGGGCACUUCAUGGAUGACUUCUACAGAGCCUAGUGCUGAAAUUUGAAGCUGCAGUACAUGCAUUGUUCACUUGUGAGUCCCGCCUACCUGAGCACACAUACGUUGUGCAGAACUUCAAAAGAACCCACGCAAAUUUAUCCGAGAGUUGUCUGUUUUAUGAAAAGUAUUUAAGAAUACGCUGAGGGCGAAUGAGUCGUUCAGUUUCCGUAUUUCAUUUUUAAACUUGUGUUUUUAAGAGAGUUAAAACGACAAAAAAAUGUGUUUUUAGAAUAAUUUUGAGGCAUGAAACAUCCUGUACAGAUUCUUGAAAGCACUCCAAGGGUCUGAGUUACAUCAUUUAUCUUAAUUUUUCCACCAUAUAAUGUUAUGGUUAUCGCUCAAAUUUAGUAGUUGCCCUAUGGAUGACGAGAAGACCACGCGUCAGUCCACAGCCUCGCACAUUGAGGUGAUACAGUGCUAGAAACACCAGUGCGUGUCUUACUUAUCAUCCUGCCUCACUAACACACAUACAUCCCUGACUAGGCAGGCCCCUUAACGUUGUUAGUUUUGUGUAAUUUUUAUCCACCAUAGCCAAAUAUCAUUGUUGUUCUUAGUCAUCCAGUAGUUUGUAAGGCAGUGAAGGGCUUUGCAUGAACUCAUCUGCAUCUUUUUAUUCGGCUUCAUUAUUUUAAUUGCAUUGCCAUCUGUACUAUAAUGUUAACAAGGAACAGCUUCAUCCAUCUCUGUAAAUGUAGUUACAGUAACUACGUAUCCUAAUAGUCAGCAAUUUUCAGUGUUAAGCUUUUUCAAAGUUUUUGUUGAACUUAUUUUUAGCAUGCUUUUAUUAGCUUGACCUUUAUGUAUGAAUGAAUGGACUAUGUAAUAAAAUAUUUCCAUUCAAUUUGUACCCACUUUACAACAUCAGAAUAUGUUGAAAUUUUGCAUACAUAUAACGAACCUCGGAUAAAAAAACCACUAAUUUCAAUCUAUGGGUAAUAACCA